UAUUGCGUAGACUGAGCAAACAAGUUGAGUUGUCAAUUUCUGAAGUUUCUAAGUUGACAACUCUAUUAAAUGUCAAUCUGAGUUCGAAACAUUAAAGUAAUAAUAUGUGAUCACAGAUCAGUUUACAAUUUACAUUAUUUAUUUAUUAUUGUUUGUUUUUGAGUGAAACAAAAAGAAUAUACAUAAACAUAUUAACUAAUUAAAAGUAACCAACUAUAUAUAACUAAAAAACGACUAAAGUACGGUACCUACUCAUAAUUGCACUACUUAAAUAUGGGUUAAUGUUAUUAGACUGAGAUGUAAAAUAAAACUUUACCUGACAUAGAUAAUGGAGAAGACACUCUUGGCUCCUCAGUGGCGGUGGAAUAUUGUUCCAACACUUGGAAGCAGCAUAGCUAAAACUUCCUCGAAAGGCUGCUGAACUGUGUUGUGGUAUUGUGAUUUGCAUAACAGCCUUUCGAGUAUCACAGGACCUAUGACUGGAAAACCAGGAGAGCUUUUUAUAUAAAUAAGUAGGAACCCUUGUACUUUAUUACAUCAAAGAGCAGGCAAGCUAAGUGAAGCUUACGCCUGUGUCUCAAUUUUAGGAUACAGUGUUUAUUAAGGUAUGGUGUCACAUGGGCCCUUAAUGGAAUGUUAAAGCAAAAACGAGCACACGCAUUUUGAACAUGUUGGAUAAGAUUUUGGGUUUUUCCUAAUAGACGGGGUCCAACUACUAUGUCCAUGUAGUUGAGUUUUGAGAGUAUUAGUGACUCAGCUAAUUGAACACGCAGUCUGUCAGUUCAAUAGGGUCUUAAUCGGUACAAAAUUUUCAGCCUAUAGAAGCAGUUCUGAACUGAUUGUGCAACAUGCUUCUCAAAUCGCAAGUCAGUGUCCAUUACCAGCCCUAAAUUUCUUACUUCAUAUAUUUGCUCAAUUAAUUCACCGUUAAGCCUUACUUUUUCUAAUGUAUUUAUUUUAUUUACUUGUUGCUUACUACCACAUAUCAAAUACUUGGUUUUAUCUGCAUUGAGUAGGUCAUUUUUUUUGGACCACAUUGUUAUCCUAGCUAGAUCUUCAUUAAGUUUUUUAAUGGUUUGAUCAAUGUCUGCAGGCAAGCAAGAGAUAUACACCAGUAUAUCAUCUGCAUAAAUGUGAAAAUUACAGUACUGAAUAUGGCUUUUAAUAUCGGCAGUAUAUAGAAUGAAGAGAAUUGGACCCAAUAUAGAACCCUGAGGUACUCCUCGAUUUACACUAACCUUAUUUGAAAAUAUUGUAGUCCCAUCAUUUCUCUGUAAUUUCACAUAUUGACAGCGAUUGCUCAAGUAACUCCAUAGUAUCUAAGUUUGGAAAGCAGCAAAGUGGUAUUUAUUGAGUCAAAUGCCCUAGAGAAAUCUAACAACACUAGAAGUGUACACAUCCCAUUGUCUUGUGCAUGGAGUAUAUUGUCAGUAACAUCAAGCAAAGCUGUUACUGUACUUCGACCUUUUCUGAAUCCUGACUGUACUUCAGGUAAAAUAUUGUUAUCUUCAAGAUAUUUUGUUAAUUGUGUACAAACAGCUUUCUCCAACACCUUUGAUAAACAUGGCAAUAUACUUAUAGGCCUAAGAUCUUUUAACUCACAUGGGUUUGGUUUUUUUGGAAUAGGCUUCACAAUUGCAGUUUUCCAUAUAUCUGGGCAUGUGGAUGUGCUAAAAGACUUAUUUAUAAUGUUUUUUAUUACCUCUAGUGUGUAUGGAAAUGUCAUAAUAAGCAUUUCCAGAGUAAUAUUAUCACAACCCUCGGCAUUUGACUUAAGGCUCUGUAUAAUUUUGUAAAUUUCAUCCAGAUCAACCAUCUCAAUGUGAAAUACAGCAUCACUGUAUUUGUGGUAUUCAUAGUAUGUCAGCUGCGAAAUACUAACAUUUGAAGAACCUGGUAUGUUUAAAAAAUGAUUAUUGAUCAUAUCAGGGUCACUAAAGUACAUUGGCCAUUCAAUAUUAUUAUUUUUAGGUAAUAAGACAUUUUUUAAGUUUUUCCAUAGUUGUUUCGGUUGAUUUAUCUUAUUAUUUAUAUGAUGUUUAAAAAAUGCAGAUUUUUCAAAGAAAAGUGCUUUAUUUACAGAUGAUUUUAAUAUUUUAUAAUACUCUUUUUUUGAAGGUAGCCUUGUCUUAUGGAAAUCCAUCAUAGCCUUAUCCCUCAGCCUCAUCAUAAUUUUAAUUGUGUCAGUUAUCCAUGGAUGGCUGGGAUCUUUGACAAUUAUAGUUUUUAUAGGCGCAUGAAUAUUAAAUAUAGUUAAUACGUUAUGGUUCAGUAACCUGACCAUUUCAUUAACAUUGUCAAGUGAUGAUAUUAAGUCCCAUUUCACACAUCUCAAAUCAUCAUCAAAAUUGUCCACACAUAUCUUGUUUUUAGGUCUGUAUGUUAUUGUUUUGGGUUUGGGUUUAUUGCAUUUAAUAUUAAAUUCACAUACAAUAAGACAGUGUCCUAAUAUAUAGCCUAAAGGCUCUACUAUAAUAUUUUUAGUGUUCAAAUCAGUGCAAACAAUAUCAAUAAGAGUUUGACUAGAUGUUGUGAAGUGAGUUGGUUCUGUAACAACUUGUGUCAAGUUAAAACAUGAAAUAAAGGUAUUUAAUUUACAUUUGUCACUGUGAUUAUUACAAAGCAUAUUAAUAUUAAAAUCUCCAAGUAAAAUCAAAUUAUCAUAAAUAGGAAUGGAACUAAUUGUAUCUGUCAAUGCAUUAAAAAAUAAGUCAAUGCUCAUCCAAGGUGGCAGAUAUGCAGUGCCAAUCACUAACUUCCUUCCAUUAAGGGUCAUUGUAAGCCACAUUUGUUCCACUGAACUAUGCAAUGGAUCUACUGGGUGACGGAGGAUAUGCACAUUCAUAUUUCUUUUGGUAUAAAACCCAACACCACCCCCUCGCGUACGCACUUGUAAAGGGCGGGGGAUGUGUCGAAGUUGGUAACUAUGCAAAGUGGGGGCCCGACCCUCUUCACCCGAUCUGAGCCAUGUCUCAUUUAUAGCCAAUAUGUCUAUAUCAUGCCUGAUGACUGAGGCUAUAAAAUUGUCAUGGUUUGUGCUAAGAGAGCCAGCAUUCAGCAAACCAAUUUUUAAAUGAUUACUAAUCAUUAUGAUUACCUGUACUAAAAUGUUUUGAUAAAGCAUACAACACACAGAAAGAUAUAAUAAUAUAUAGCUGCUCUCUUUGUAUAAAACUUAUAAGUAUAAGCUUAAAAGUUAUAGAUAAUUUUAAUAAAUAAUUUAAUAUUAA